CUACAGCCAUACUCUGGACCUGGUUAUUACCAAGGGGCUUUCUACUGGACCUGGUUAUUACCAAGGGGCUUUCUACUGGACCUGGUUAUUACCAAGGGGCUUUCUACUGGGCCCAGCCAUAACUACAGCCAUACUCUGGACCUGGUUAUUACCAAGGGGCUUUCUACUGGACCUGGUUAUUACCAAGGGGCUUUCUACUGGACCUGGUUAUUACCAAGGGGCUUUCUACUGGGCCCAGCCAUAACUACAGCCAUACUCUGGACCUGGUUAUUACCAAGGGGCUUUCUACUGGACCUGGUUAUUACCAAGGGGCUUUCUACUGGAACUGGUUAUUACCAAGGGUCUUUCUACUGGACCUGGUUAUUACCAAGGGGCUUUCUACUGGGCCCAGCCAUAACCACAGCCAUACUCUGGACCUGGUUAUUACCAAGGGGCUUUCUACUGGACCUGGUUAUUACCAAGGGUCUUUCUACUGGACCUGGUUAUUACCAAGGGGCUUUCUACUGGACCUGGUUAUUACCAAGGGUCUUUCUACUGGACCUGGUUAUUACCAAGGGGCUUUCUACUGGGCCCAGCCAUAACUACAGCCAUACUCUGGACCUGGUUAUUACCAAGGGGCUUUCUACUGGACCUGGUUAUUACCAAGGGGCUUUCUACUGGACCUGGUUAUUACCAAGGGGCUUUCUACUGGACCUGGUUAUUACCAAGGGGCUUUCUACUGGGCCCUGCCAUAACCACAGCCAUACUCUGGACCUGGUUAUUACCAAGGGGCUUUCUACUGGACCUGGUUAUUACCAAGGGGCUUUCUACUGGACCUGGUUAUUACCAAGGGGCUUUCUACUGGACCUGGUUAUUACCAAGGGGCUUUCUACUGGGCCCACCCAUAACCACAGCCAUACUCUGGACCUGGUUAUUACCAAGGGUCUUUCUAUUGACAUAUCCUCUAUUGUUGAUGUUGCUUUAUCUGAUCAACACUGUAUUUUUUACAAACUUUUUUACGUACCUGAACACAUUAUUAAGAAGCACUAUCUGACCUCUGAAGUUGCUACAGAUUUUAUUAUUGUGUCUGAACAAUACACCAUCACCUAUUCUGCCUUCCUCUUGUGA
rnacentral:lncRNA from 1 species